AUGCUUGACUCAAAGAUUAAGCCAUGCAUGUGCAUGUGCAUACCUAUACACGGUGAGACCGCGAAUGGCUCAUUAGAUCAGUCGUUGUUCCUUAGACGGAAGGUGCUACUUGGAUAACUGUGGCAAUUCUAGAGCUAAUACAUGCGAGAAAGCUCCGACCUUCGGGGAAGAGCGCAGUUAUUAGAUCAAGACCAACCGGGUCGAAAGGCCCGCAAGUCUGGUGACUCUGGAUAACCUCAGGCUGACCGCAUGGCCUCCGAGCCGGCGGCGCAUCUUUCAAGUGUCUGCCCUAUCAACUUUCGAUGGUAUGCGAUCUGCUUACCAUGGUGGUGACGGGUAACGGGGAAUCAGGGUUCGAUUCCGGAGAGGGAGCAUGAGAAACGGCUACCACCUCCAAGGAAGGCAGCAGGCGCGCAAAUUACCCACUCCUGGCACAGGGAGGUAGUGACGAGCAAUAACGACCCGGGACUCUUUCGAGGCCUCGGGAUCGGAAUGAGUAUAAUCUAAACACUUUAGCGAGGAACAAUUGGAGGGCAAGUCUGGUGCCAGCAGCCGCGGUAAUUCCAGCUCCAAUAGCGUAUAUUAAAGCUGUUGCAGUUAAAAAGCUCGUAGCUGAAUCUCGGGUCCAGGCGGGCAGUCCGCCUCGCGGCGAGUACGGCCCGUUUCCUGACCCAACUGCCGGUAUUCUCGGGGUGCUCUUGAUUGAGUGUUUCGGGUGGCCGGCACGUUUACUUUGAAAAAAUUAGAGUGCUCAAAGCAGGCCAGCGAGCCUGAAUACUAUAGCAUGGAAUAAUGAAAUAGGACCUCGGUGCUAUUUUGUUGGUCUCCGGUGCUCGAGGUAAUGAUUAAGAGGGACGGACGGGGGCAUUCGUAUUGCGGGGCGAGAGGUGAAAUUCUUGGACCCUCGCAAGACGAACAACCGCGAAAGCAUUUGCCAAGAAUGUUUUCCUUAGUCAAGAACGAAAGUCAGAGGUUGGAAGACGAUCAGAUACCGUCCUAGUUCUGACCAUAAACGAUGCCAACUAGCGAUGCGCGGGCGUUGUUGUCUGACCUCGCGCGCAGCUC
rnacentral:rRNA from 1 species